rnacentral:rRNA from 1 species
GAUUGAACGCUGGCGGCAUGCUUUACACAUGCAAGUCGAGCGGCAGCGCGGGGGCAACCCUGGCGGCGAGCGGCGAACGGGUGAGGAAUACAUCGGAACGUACCCCGGAGUGGGGGAUAACGCCGCGAAAGCGGCGCUAAUACCGCAUAUGCUCUGAGGAGGAAAGUGGGGGACCCGCAAGGGCCUCACGCUCUGGGAGCGGCCGAUGUCCGAUUAGCUUGUUGGUGAGGUAAUGGCUCACCAAGGCGACGAUCGGUAGCUGGUCUGAGAGGAUGAUCAGCCACACUGGGACUGAGACACGGCCCAGACUCCUACGGGAGGCAGCAGUGGGGAAUUUUGGACAAUGGGGGCAACCCUGAUCCAGCCAUGCCGCGUGCGGGAAGAAGGCCUUCGGGUUGUAAACCGCUUUUGGUCGGGAAGAAAAGGUGACCCCUAAUAAGGGUGACUCUUGACGGUACCGGCAGAAUAAGCACC